rnacentral:lncRNA from 1 species
GAUGUGAAGAAAACAACUAAGUGCAACAAUGAAACGCGAUCUCUUUAUUUGGUUUAUGAUUUCAUGAAAGCAGAAACAAUGGAUCACAAAUCGGAUGCAAAUAAAAGAGACAAGGAUAGAUAUAACCUGAUGCUGAAGGAACUUCAGCUCUGAUACCAGAAAUGAUACAAGCCUAAGCUAUCAAAGGCUGUACGUUCCCAAGCAAGAGAGAGAAGGAUACACCAGGAUGAAUCACUCGGUAAGAAGCUUGAUUUGGAUACAUAAAGUGGUGGAUAAUC